rnacentral:rRNA from 1 species
ACGUACACUCCUGCGGGAGGCAGCAGUGGGGAAUAUUGGACAAUGGGCGCAAGCCUGAUCCAGCCAUGCCGCGUGAGUGAUGAAGGCCCUAGGGUUGUAAAGCUCUUUCACCGGUGAAGAUAAUGACGGUAACCGGAGAAGAAGCCCCGGCUAACUUCGUGCCAGCAGCCGCGGUAAUACGAAGGGGGCUAGCGUUGUUCGGAUUUACUGGGCGUAAAGCGCACGUAGGCGGACUAUUAAGUCAGGGGUGAAAUCCCGGGGCUCAACCCCGGAACUGCCUUUGAUACUGGUAGUCUUGAGUGCGAGAGAGGUGAGUGGAACUCCGAGUGUAGAGGUGAAAUUCGUAGAUAUUCGGAGGAACACCAGUGGCGAAGGCGGCUCACUGGCUCGAUACUGACGCUGAGGUGCGAAAGCGUGGGGAGCAAACAGGAUUAGAAACCCGGGUAGUCCC